GUCUACAGCCAUACCACUCUGAAUACGCCUGAUCUCAUGUGAUCUUGGAAGCUAAGCAGGGUUGGGCGUGGUUUGUACUUGGAUGGGAGACCGCUUGAGAAUACCAGGUACUGUAGGCU
ensembl:rRNA 5S_rRNA 5S ribosomal RNA